rnacentral:tRNA from 1 species
GGCAUGGUAGCUCAGUGGUAGAAUCCUUGCCUUCCAUGCGGGAGACCUAGGUUCGAUUCCCAGUCAAAGCCG